GCAAGUCGAACGAGAAAGCACCUUCGGGUGUAAGUACAGUGGCAGACGGGUGAGUAAUACUUAGGUAAUCUGCCUCCGAGAUGGGGACAACCUUCCGAAAGGAGGGCUAAUACCGAAUGAGACCACAGUUACUUCGGUAACAGCGGUUAAAGAUGGCCUCUACUUGUAAGCUAUCACUUGGAGAUGAGCCUAAGCACCAUUAGCUUGUUGGCGGGGUAACGGCCCACCAAGGCUACGAUGGUUAGCUGAUCUGAGAGGUUGAUC
rnacentral:rRNA from 1 species